ACACAUGCAAGUCGAGCGAAGCACUUUGCUUAGAUUCUUCGGAUGAAGAGGAUUGUGACUGAGCGGCGGACGGGUGAGUAACGCGUGGGUAACCUGCCUCAUACAGGGGGAUAACAGUUAGAAAUGACUGCUAAUACCGCAUAAGACCACAGCACCGCAUGGUGCGGGGGUAAAAACUCCGGUGGUAUGAGAUGGACCCGCGUCUGAUUAGCUAGUUGGUAAGGUAACGGCUUACCAAGGCGACGAUCAGUAGCCGACCUGAGAGGGUGACCGGCCACAUUGGGACUGAGACACGGCCCAAACUCCUACGGGAGGCAGCAGUGGGGAAUAUUGCACAAUGGGGGAAACCCUGAUGCAGCGACGCCGCGUGAGCGAAGAAGUAUUUCGGUAUGUAAAGCUCUAUCAGCAGGGAAGAAAAUGACGGUACCUGACUAAGAAGCACCGGCUAAAUACGUGCCAGCAGCCGCGGUAAUACGUAUGGUGCAAGCGUUGUCCGGAUUUACUGGGUGUAAAGGGAGCGUAGACGGAUGGGCAAGUCUGAUGUGAAAACCCGGGGCUCAACCCCGGGACUGCAUUGGAAACUGUUCAUCUAGAGUGCUGGAGAGGUAAGUGGAAUUCCUAGUGUAGCGGUGAAAUGCGUAGAUAUUAGGAGGAACACCAGUGGCGAAGGCGGCUUACUGGACAGUAACUGACGUUGAGGCUCGAAAGCGUGGGGAGCAAACAGGAUUAGAUACCCUGGUAGUCCACGCCGUAAACGAUGACUACUAGGUGUCGGG
rnacentral:rRNA from 1 species